CUUUUUUUUUUUUUUUUUUGACAGUGCCCCACGACAUGGGGGAUCUUAGUUGCCUGACCAGGGAUCGAACCCGUGUCCCAGCAUUGAAAACGUGGAGUCUUAAAUACUGGACUGCCAGGAAAGUCCCCAUUCAUUCAUUUCUUUAAGAGGCCUUAGUCCCCAGCUUCCGAGCUCAACCUGAGGCAGCUACGCGCAGAGAAGAUGGAAUAUUCGACUCCAUUCUACUGUGGGAGGUGGGUCAGGCACAACCUCUAACUUCCGGAACUUUGGAAAGCGAAAAGAUGUUUCACGAACAGGCAGGACAGCCUCAUGGUUCAACAUUCAAAAGGCAAAAGGAGACUGGAAAUAAAUCAAGCCUGAGCCUGGGAGUCCGGAGCCUCUUCUCCCACCUGCUGGGGCCUGGUCUGAUUUGGCCUCAUCUCAACAAGGAGACUUGUCCUGCUGGAGACUCUGAUGACAAGAUUUUUGACACUGAAAAGUUUAAAUGACAAAUGCAAGAACCUUGACCGCUUCUCCACCCCUACCAGCAAGGUUGCUGGUUUGAACUCAGUGUUUGGACAAGUUGUUCUUCACAACCCGCAACUCCAACUUCCUCAGGUCCCUGGUGCCAGAAGACCUCAUCUCUCCCUGUUUUAGGGCCAUACAAGCCCGGUGGGGCCCAUGCCAGGUCCACUGCUGCAGCCCAGGGAAAAGCCAUUUUCUGAAACAGACGUUGGCAAA